GGGAGCGAGCAAGAGACAGGCAGAGAGACAGAGAUGAAGAGAUGGAGAGAUGCUGGCACAGACAGCAGAAAUCAAGAGAGAAAGAUGAAUAGGGGGAAUGAGGGGGGUGAGGACAAGAGAGAAGAGGUUUAAUGAGCAGCUGGAGGAAAUAAAACCAGAAAGAGGGAGAUGCAACCUGGGAGGCAUAUGAAGAAAAAUGGGGAAGAACCAACGCAAGAGAAAAGGGGUCUUGGCUUCUAGGAGAUGGGUCCCCUUGGGACAUGCCCCCUGGCAACCCCUCUGCCUCCCCAUCCUUCUCCCCCUCCCAGACUGCCCACCAGGGACAUGUCUGUGGCAGCCUCCCCCGAUUACCAGAACAAUCCCAGCCUUCAGCAGAUGCCCAGCAUGGCCUGUUCCCCUCUAGGAACAACAGCAGGAUGAGCCAGGUGUCCCAGCUGCCCCCAGGUACCAUACCCUGCACCGGGUGACCACUGUUCCCCAGCUUUCCCUCCUCUGCAGAUGCAUGCAGAGGUACUGUCCCUCUGCCAGAGAGACUUUCUGGAGAAGUCCCUGACUGGCCCGGUUCUGCCGUGACCUUGGUGGGGCUCAGGCCAGUUCCGGCUAAUCUCGGGCAUCGGUGGGCCACGCUCCUGUCUGUUGGGGUUGCUGACAACCUCCCGGGGUCGGCCAGGACCCACCGUGGGCCCCUGUCCUCUUUGCCCUGCCAUCGCAUCCUCAGAAGCUUUCUGACCACUUACGGAAUCUGUGUCACCUCACCGCAUUCCUGAUGGCUCAGGACACCUGUUGCCUUUCUAGCAGAAGCCCAGGCGGAUGAAGGUGGUACUGAGUCGCCUGGUAGCACACGGAUUGGAUUUUUAAGCUUGGCCAUUUCUGACUAACCUUAGCUGUGGCAGCUUGGGAACUCCAGUCCGUCUCGAGACUCAGUUUAUCCAUUGGCAAAACGUGCUAAGACCUGCAUCCUGGCCAUGCAGAUAGAACGGAAGCAGAGGGGCAAGGACUGCGGCAGGGGACCCCUGGGACCCAGGUGGUGCUCACUAAAUGCCAGCUGCUGUCACGAGGAUUCCUGAUGGUGGCACCCUGGUGUCACAAAGAUGCCCAUCCCCACCAAACCCAGCCCUACCCCAUUAUCACUGGGAUCAGAGCUCCCCAGGCUGCUUUGGCAGCAGCUGUUCACCUACCCCACCGAUCCCUCCCUGGAAGCUCCUGAACUUCGUGGAAAAGAAGGAAAAAAAAAAAAAAAGAAACCCUCAGAAGUCCUGAUUAGCACA